UACGAAGGGGGCUAGCGUUGCUCGGAAUCACUGGGCGUAAAGGGUGCGUAGGCAGGUCUUUAAGUCAGGGGUGAAAUCCUGGAGCUCAACUCCAGAACUGCCUUUGAUACUGAAGAUCUUGAGUUCGGGAGAGGUGAGUGGAACUGCGAGUGUAGAGGUGAAAUUCGUAGAUAUUCGCAAGAACACCAGUGGCGAAGGCGGCUCACUGGCCCGAGAUUGACACUGAUGAGCGAAAGCUAGGGGAGCAAACGGG
rnacentral:rRNA from 1 species